CCUACGGGAGGCAGCAGUGGGGAAUAUUGGGCAAUGGGCGCAAGCCUGACCCAGCAACGCCGCGUGAAGGAAGAAGGCUUUCGGGUUGUAAACUUCUUUUCUCAGGGACGAAGCGAGUGACGGUACCUGUGGAAUAAGCCUCGGCUAACUACGUGCCCGCAGCCGCGGUAAUACGUAGGUGGCAAGCGUUAUCCGGAUUUACUGGGUGUAAAGGGUGUGUAGGCGGGAAGGCAAGUCAGUUGUGAAAGCCAUGGGCUCAACCUGGGAACUGCAUCUGAAACUGUUUGUCUUGAGUACUGGAGAGGCAGACGGAAUUCGUAGUGUAGCGGUGAAAUGCGUAGAUAUUAGGAGGAACACCAGUGGCGAAGGCGGGCUGCUGGACAGCAACUGACGCUGAGGCGCGAAAGCGUGGGGAGCAAACAGGAUUAGAUACCCGGGUAGUC
rnacentral:rRNA from 1 species